rnacentral:tRNA from 1 species
GCGGGAAUAGCUCAGUUGGCAGAGCACCACCUUGCCAAGGUGGCUGUCGCGGGUUCAAGUCCCGUUUCCCGCUCCA